rnacentral:rRNA from 1 species
CGCGUAAAGAACUUGCCUCACAGCUAGGGACAACAUUUAGAAAUGAAUGCUAAUACCUGAUAUUAUGAUUUUAAGGCAUCUUAGAAUUAUGAAAGCUAUAAGCACUGUGAGAGAGCUUUGCGUCCCAUUAGCUAGUUGGAGAGGUAACAGCUCACCAAGGCGAUGAUGGGUAGCCGGCCUGAGAGGGUGAACGGCCACAAGGGGACUGAGACACGGCCCUUACUCCUACGGGAGGCAGCAGCA